rnacentral:sRNA from 1 species
ACAUGGACAAGGACGGGUGGUGUCUUGAAGGUGACAACAAAAGGUGGUGAGUCCCAGGCCACAGAUGUUCCUGAUGCAGUCCUUGGGUCUGUGUGUGCUUUGGCCUGGCUGCCCGGUGUCCCCUGUGCUGAUUCAUGAGUCCCUGGGAAUGUAGAAAGUAGAAUAUUCAUUAGGAAACAGGACCCCAAUGAGGAUGAGCCAAACAUCCAAGUGCUCCUUGAGCACCGCUUCUACAAGGAGAAGAGCAAGAGCGUCAAGCAGACCUGUGACAAGUGUAACACCAUCAUCUGGGGGCUCAUUCAGACCUGGUACACCUGCACAGGUGGGCCGAGACCCAGAUGAGGAGCGAGGAAUGAGAGAGACCAAAGUUCCUACCUCCGCUGGGCUCACAUUCAGAUCUGAGCUGUCCAGUGUGGUGGCCACUAGCCAAACAUGGCCAGUCAAAGUUAAAUUAACUAAAUAUGCAUUUCCUCAGUUGUACUGUCUACAUUGGACAGUGCUGUUCUGGAUGAGAAAUUAAACUAGUGAAUUAC